rnacentral:rRNA from 1 species
UACGGGGGGGGUAAGCGUUGUUCGGAAUUACUGGGCGUAAAGGGCUCGUAGGCGGCCAACUAAGUCGGACGUGAAAUCCCUCAGCUUAACUGGGGAACUGCGUCCGAUACUGGAUGGCUUGGAUUUGGGAGAGGGAUGCGGAAUUCCAGGUGUAGCGGUGAAAUGCGUAGAUAUCUGGAGGAACACCGGUGGCGAAGGCGGCAUCCUGGACCAAUAUUGACGCUGAGAAGCGAAAGCUAGGGGAGCAAACGGG